rnacentral:rRNA from 1 species
AACGAACGCUGGCGGCAUGCCUAACACAUGCAAGUCGAACGAGACCUUCGGGUCUAGUGGCGUACGGGUGCGUAACACGUGGGAAUUUGCCUCGGGGUAUGGAAUAACUCAGGGAAACUUGAGCUAAUACCAUAUAAUGUCUUCGGACCAAAGAUUUAUCGCCCUGAGAUAAGCUCGCGUAGGAUUAGCUAGUUGGUGAGGUAAUGGCUCACCAAGGCGACGACGGGUAGCCGGCCUGAGAGGGUGGACGGCCACACUGGGACUGAGACACGGCCCAGACUCCUACGGGAGGCAGCAGUGGGGAAUAUUGCGCAAUGGACGAAAGUCUGACGCAGCGACGCCUCGUGAGGGACGAAGGUCUUCGGAUUGUAAACCUCUUUCAGCAGGGACGAAGCGAAAGUGACGGUACCUGCAGAAGAAGCACCGGCUAACUAU